rnacentral:rRNA from 1 species
UACAGAGGUCUCAAGCGUUGUUCGGAUUCAUUGGGCGUAAAGGGUGCGUAGGUGGCGCGCUAAGUCAGGUGUGAAAUUUCGGAGCUUAACUCCGAAACUGCAUUUGAUACUGGCGUGCUUGAGGACUGGAGAGGAGACUGGAAUUCAUGGUGUAGCAGUGAAAUGCGUAGAGAUCAUGAGGAACACCAGUGGCGAAGGCGGCGAUCGUGGGUAGAUACUGCGCUGGAGGUGCGAAAGGCGUGGGGGAGCAAACAGGAU